rnacentral:pre_miRNA from 14 species
UUUUCACAGUAUAAUUGAAAGACCCCCCGGAGCGGGGAGACCCUCACUCAAGUCUCAGGAUGAUGCGACCCCCCAAGAACUCACGUGAGACC